CAUGUGCCUGAUUCUCCAGAAAAUUUUCUGUCCAGCCAGUUGUUGACUGCUAACCAAGAUGCCUUGGGAAGGGCGCAAAGGCAGAGAAUGCCUACCUAGCAGGUACCGCUCUAGUUGCUGAAGCAACAAUAUGGGCAACAUCUGCUGACUGAAGAUCUGAGAUUAAACGAGAGCCUCAGGAAGAACACCUGGUGUCAGAGGGAAGAGAGUGGAAGACAGACAAUAUUUGAAGGAGGAAGAAAAAUCCCAAAGAGACCUUGAAAGUAGCUGAAGGUGGUACUGCAGGAUAUGGAAAAUGAUAAUCCCCCCAAACUGUGUGACCUGGAGAAAGAGGGAGGAGGAAGGUAAUCAUUAAUCCUCUCCCAGUUAAUCCUUUCCCAGUAACAAUGGG